rnacentral:rRNA from 1 species
CAGUAGCCACGGUAAUACGUAGGUGGCAAGCGUUGUCCGGAAUUAUUGGGCGUAAAGCGCGCGCAGGCGGUUUCUUAAGUCUGAUGUGAAAGCCCCCGGCUUAACCGGGGAGGGUCAUUGGAAACUGGGAGACUUAGAGUGCAGAAGAGGAGAGUGGAAUUCCAUGUGUAGCGGUGAAAUGCGUAGAUAUAUGGAGGAACACCAGUGGCGAAGGCGACUCUCUGGUCUGUAACUGACGCUGAGGCGCGAAAGCGUGGGGAGCAAACAGGAUUAGAUACCCCCGUAGUCCCUGUCUCUUAUU